ACCUGAACUCAGACGUGAAUACCCGCUGAACUUAAGCAUAUCAGUAAGCGGAGGAAAAGAAACUAAAAAGGAUUCCCGUAGUAACGGCGAGUGAACUGGGAAGAUGUCCAGCGCUGAAUCGUGGCGCCUCUGGUGCCGUGAGGUGUAGCGUACAGACCGUGAGUGUGGGUUGGCUCGCCCGUUCAAGUUUCCCUUGACCGGGGCUCCAGAGAAGGUGCAAGGCCUGUCCAACGGGUGGCUGUCAGCUCAUCUUCGCGUGUCUUUGAGUCGGGUUGUUUGGGAUCGCAGCCCAAAGCAGGUGGUAAACUUCAUCUAAGACUGAAUAUGACCACGAGUCCGAUAGCGAACAAGUACUGUGAAGGAAAGUUGCAAAGCACUUUGAAGAGAGAGUUAAAAAGGACGUGAAACCGAUGAGGUGGAAACGGACAGAGCCGGCGUAUCUGGCCUGUAUUCAGCUAUGGGCCUCUGGCGCUGGGCAGUCGCUCUCCAUAUUGGGACGACUGUCUGGCUGCUCGGGUGUCUGUGGUGCAUUUGCAGGUGGAGUGCGCUGAGACGGUCGGGGCAGCGGCAUGAGCUCGGCUCUGAGGCCAGCCCUUCGGGGUCUGGUACCCGAACAGGGGGAGUGCUGUUUGGCCUGGCCGGCAGCGGGAAUGGUUUCGGGCUCGAUUGGGUGCCGAGCUGGCAGUCGGUGGCGGUCGCAUGCGACACGUGCCAGCGGUCAGUUCGGUCCUGGUCGAGCUCUCAAAGCUCCAUCCUCGGUGUAAAAGCUGGUCAUCUGUCCGACCCGUCUUGAAACACGGACCAAGGAGUUUAGCGUGUGCGCGAGUCAUUGGGCGGUGAAAACCCAAAGGCGCAAUGAAAGUGAAGGUCUCCCUUGCGGAGUUGAUGUGUGACCCGGGUCAUCGCGGUGGCCCGGAGCAACAUAGUCCCGUCCCGACCGCAUGCGGUGGGGCGGAGACUGAGCGUGCGCGCUGAGACCCGAAAGAUGGUGAACUAUUCCUGAGCGGGACGAAGCCAGAGGAAACUCUGGUGGAAGUCCGAAGCGAUUCUGACGUGCAAAUCGAUCGUCUGACCUGGGUAUAGGGGCGAAAGACUAAUCGAACCAUCUAGUAGCUGGUUCCUUCCAAGA
rnacentral:rRNA from 1 species